GGGCAGCUAGCUCAACGGUUAGAGCAACCGGUUUACAUCCGGUAGGUUAGAGGUUCGAAUCCCCUGUUGCCCA
rnacentral:tRNA from 1 species